rnacentral:rRNA from 1 species
UGGGGAAUUUUGGACAAUGGGCGCAAGCCUGAUCCAGCCAUACCGCGUGAGUGAAGAAGGCCUUCGGGUUGUAAAGCUCUUUCAGACGGAAAGAAACGGUCGCGGCCAAUACCCGCGACUAAUGACGGUACCGUAAGAAGAAGCACCGGCUAACUACGUGCCAGCAGCCGCGGUAAUACGUAGGGUGCGAGCGUUAAUCGGAAUUACUGGGCGUAAAGCGUGCGCAGGCGGUUUGGUAAGACAGAUGUGAAAUCCCCGGGCUUAACCUGGGAACUGCAUUUGUGACUGCCAGACUAGAGUGUAGCAGAGGGGGGUAGAAUUCCACGUGUAGCAGUGAAAUGCGUAGAUAUGUGGAGGAAUACCGAUGGCGAAGGCAGCCCCCUGGGCUAACACUGACGCUCAUGCACGAAAGCGUGGGGAGCAAACAGGAUUAGAUACCCACGUAGUCCCUGAGCGGGCUGGCAAGGCGCAU